CUUUAAAGAGCCCUCGAACGUC
rnacentral:piRNA from 1 species